rnacentral:rRNA from 1 species
CCUACGGGAGGCAGCAGUCGGGAAUUUUGCGCAAUGGACGAAAGUCUGACGCAGCAACGCCGCGUGAGGGAUGACGGCCUUCGGGUUGUAAACCUCUUUUGUCAGGGAAGAUAAUGACGGUACCUGGCGAAUAAGUCACGGCUAACUACGUGCCAGCAGCCGCGGUAAU